rnacentral:rRNA from 1 species
GAUGAACGCUGGCGGCGUGCCUAAUACAUGCAAGUCGAGCGAACAGACGAGGAGCUCGCUCCUCUGACGUUAGCGGCGGACGGGUGAGUAACACGUGGAUAACCUACCUAUAAGACUGGGAUAACUUCGGGAAACCGGAGCUAAUACCGGAUAAUAUAUUGAACCGCAUGGUUCAAUAGUGAAAGACGGUUUUGCUGUCACUUAUAGAUGGAUCCGCGCCGCAUUAGCUAGUUGGUAAGGUAACGGCUUACCAAGGCAACGAUGCGUAGCCGACCUGAGAGGGUGAUCGGCCACACUGGAACUGAGACACGGUCCAGACUCCUACGGGGGGCAGCAGUAGGGAAUCUUCCGCAAUGGGCGAAAGCCUGACGGAGCAACGCCGCGUGAGUGAUGAAGGUCUUCGGAUCGUAAAACUCUGUUAUUAGGGAAGAACAAAUGUGUAAGUAACUAUGCACGUCUUGACGGUACCUAAUCAGAAAGCCACGGCUAACUACGUG